AUUCAACUUGCUCUGGGGAAGUUUAGGUUAGAAAUUAGGAGACAUUUAUUCUCAGAAAGAGUAGUCAGGCAUUGAAAUAGGUUGCCCAGGGAGGUGGUGGAGUCACUGUCCCGGGGGGUGUUGAAGGAAAGGUCGGACCUGGCACUUCGGGACAUGAUUUAUUGGGUGACAUUGGUGGUAGGGGGAUGGUUGGACCAGAUGAUCUUGGAGGUCCUUUCCAACCUUAAUGAUUCUAUGAUUCU